AGACAGAACAGAGAUCUCCCUGAACAUUGAAGUCUGCCAUGAGUCGUUGGGCAUUUGCACUCAUUGUCCUUGUAGUAGCAGGAGUUAUUGGUGAGAAAGAUGGAAGACAACAAGCCAUAAAAUGUGGAACUCGAGUACAAGGGUUUUGCUUUAAAGAUCCCGGGUGCCCUCGAUGUUGGGGUGAAAUUAUAGGAACAUGUCCUCCUCAACAAAUAUGCUGUCACCGAGUUUGUGGAGUUGAUUCAACGGAGUGAGAAUAUGCAGACUGAAAAAAUGGUUGAAACUGCUUGGCUACAAAUUGUAUAUUGAUGGCUAAUCUGUUUUCUGCUGAGAUAUACACACAGUUUUCCUUCGUGCUUAAGAAAAGCUGCUAAGAUAUAUAGCCAGUUUUGUUCUUAUUCUAUGAAAGCUCUCCCACUGAAGGCAAAGAUGUACAAUGCAAAACCAAAUUCGGUGUCCAUUAAUGUGUGUUUAUGAUUUAUAUAAAUAAGCAACACCCAGAUACUCUUAACUAGUUUCAGCUCAGAUCAUUUAAUGUAAAUGGGAAACAUUUUGACAUCCAAAUGUAAUGAUGUUUUUUAUCUUGCUUAUAGAACCUUUGCCAGUAAAACUUUUCAUUUAGCACACCAUCACUGUUUCAUUGUUUAACAAAUUAUAAGUACAAGUAAACAUUUUUAUAAAGGUGAUGACUAAAGAAAUGCUCUAUGAUCCAGCUAGUAAUGUUGCAAGCAAAACUCUCCAUAAGAGUAAUAUCUGCUUUUUUUGUAUUACUUACUAUAUCCUUACCUUUAUCCCACAUUAUUAAAAACUGUUGAUUUCCAGA